AAUCGAAGAAAGUUGGCAGACAUUUUCUUUCAUGCCAGAACGGGCAACUCCAAUAUUUAGAAAAGAAGAACGGCAUGGCGUGGGAAUAGUGGAAGGACGACGAGAAAGAGUUUCAUCAGCGUCCUGGACAGUGAAUAUUGUGCGGAGAUAUUCCAGGAGAAGAGCAUCCUGAUUCCUGACAUUUCGUGAACCGAAUGCGACCUAUCGGAGAUGAGAUGCUGGGGGUCGGAUCCAGGGUCUGGUGGGCCAGAAGCUGCUGGUAAUGACGUAUACCUACGUAAUUGCUAGGAAAUCUAUGUCGAGGUCGAUGAUGACGUCGAGGUUCCCGAGGUCGUCGCAGAGGUUGGGUACAUUAAGGUUGACGGAGUCCAAGAAGCAGAUUUAGGAAGGGAUAACGUUCUGGGUAACUGGAUACGGAGUUGGCUCAAGGGGCGCAAGGAUGCGGAUGAUGAAGCUGAUCUCUGAGGUUGCUAAUGAUCCUAGUAAAUGUCGAUGAGGAUGAUGACCAUGAUCCCGGGUGAUCGUCCAGCAUCCUCCACUUUCUGAAGUGGCCGUGAGGUCGUUGGUUAGGACACAACGAGUCUGAGUAGUAAUACAAAUGGAUGAAGGUCCAUGCUUACCACACGAUCCAUAAUUUCAUUCCAAGUAGGGAAGUGCUGAGAGGCUGCCGCGUGGGAAAUACCAAGUUAGGACUGGUUGGUUUCUGAUGUGGCUGAACCUUAAUGGGGCCUUGACACGAAGGUGGAUGAUGGUCCGGAAAGGAUCUUAGUAAAAACAGAAAGAGAAUAAUGAAGACUAACACGAUAACAAAAAAAAGUUCCAAAAAAAUAGAGCAAGAGAGUCGAAGAUCAAGAGAAUAUUCCGUGGUACGGUUAGAGUGUAAUUGUUGGAAAGAAAAACUGUACAAAGGUGACAUAAAGCGUUGAAGAAGGGUAGUAAAGGAAAUUUAAGAAA